GUAUGGGAGUCUGCCCGAUAGAGGGGGAUAACUACUGGAAACGGUGGCUAAUACCGCAUAAUGUCUACGGACCAAAGCAGGGGCUCUUCGGACCUUGCACUAUCGGAUGAACCCAUAUGGGAUUAGCUAGUAGGUGGGGUAAAGGCUCACCUAGGCGACGAUCUCUAGCUGGUCUGAGAGGAUGAUCAGCCACACUGGGACUGAGACACGGCCCAG
rnacentral:rRNA from 1 species